GGCAAGGAGGGCAAGCAGAAGCGCGCGGGGCAACUCAAGGGGGAGCCGUUCACGCUGAAGGACUUCCAUGACUGGCCAGCGCGGCUGCCCGAGCGGGGCGA
rnacentral:snRNA from 1 species